rnacentral:rRNA from 1 species
UACGGAGGAUCCAAGCGUUAUCCGGAUUUAUUGGGUUUAAAGGGCGCGUAGGUGGCGCCCCAAGUCCGUGGUGAAAGCUCGAUGCUCAACAUCGAGUCGGCCACGGAAACUGGGGGGCUCGAGCACUGUAGAGGCAGAUGGAAUUCCGGGUGUAGCGGUGGAAUGCGUAGAGAUCAGGAGGAACACCAAUAGCGAAGGCAGCUCGCUGGGACGUUACUGACACUGAGGCGCGAAAGCCAGGGGAGCAAACGGG